GCAUAACUUCAUUCUGCUGCUGUGCUUAAACUAUGUGUAUUUAAAUUGAUUUCUUAAAUGAAACAGUUUGGAAUGCUGAAACCCUGGUGAAUUGUCUUGGGCAACAGAACAAAACAGCAGCCACUUCAUCUAGAUCAAGCAGUGGAAGGGGCAGGGUCUCUCCAUGCAAUAGUGGUGUCAAAAGAAAUGGAGGCUUGAACCCAGGCCCAUAGGAUUUGCAUAAUUAAUCACUGAAACUGAUGACACUGCUGUUCCAGGAGACUGCACGUGUGGAACACUGCAGCACAGCUUGCAACACUCCUCUAUAUUUAUAGUAUUGUCCUGCCAAGCUCUCUGUGCUCUUCCCAACUGGUAUUGCACAAGUGAAUUGUUAUUGG